rnacentral:lncRNA from 1 species
CUCUCACACACAUACACACUCUCGCUCUCUCUCUCUCUCUCACACACACACACACACACACACACACACACACACACACACACACACACACACACACACACACACACACACACAAGGCGUGUGUCAUGGUGAAUCAGGGAAGAUGCUAUAUUGAAAAACUGCUCUGCCAAGAAGGUUAGAAAACAGAGGGUUUCCAGUAAAGCUGAUAGGUUACUUGAGUGUUUAAUCCUUGAAGGCUCCACGGUUAACAAUUUGGGAUUGAGAGUCAGUGCUUUUCAAGAAGAAAUGGCAGAGGGCCAAUGUUUUGGUUGCUUCCGCCCAAACAAUCUCCUCCCUCAAUCUCUAACUAAAGGUUCCACUCCGUUUUGACUGUCAGGAACUUUCUGUCCAGGGACGUUAUCUGAGAGGCAGCCCUGGCGAUCGGAAACUGCUCCUGGAGGUAGUUUAAAUGUUAAUUACAGUUUUUUACAAUCUCUAGGACCCAUUUCUCAAUACUUAGGUCACUUUUUCAAAACUCUUCUCACAGUGAGCACAACAGUGAGCACAACAGCAGUCUAUGUGGGCUAAACUGUGGAUCAUUUUCAUUGCUUUGGCACAAAAUGCAUUCAAUGACUACAUCUUCCAAUUUUCAUGAAUUCUUUUCUAACUCAGACACAACCACCACCAAACUCUAUGUACCUACAGGCCAAUUUGCACAUGUUUACAUACUCUUUUCAAAACUGUUAAACUUAAGUACAAAACCUAAAAUAACACAAAAUUGAAUAAGACAGAAAUCUGCUACAUUUCUACAGUAAUACCGUAUUGAAAUAUAUUCCAAAUCUAAAAAAUGAAUUACUAUCAAAACAAUUAGACCAACCACAGCUGAUUCCCAUUGCAGCUGAACACCUACCCAGGUGUUAGUCUUCCAAUUACAUUACCAUCUAUACAAAAGGGGACAUUUUAGGAAUAGUGCUGUACUGUAAUGUAAGCAUGGACCCAGCCAGAGAUAGAGAAGUGGCUGACAGAGGAAGAAGAGUGGCUGGGAGAGGGAGAGGGAGAGGGGUACGUACGCGUGGUGGAAGAAGACUGAGAGGAAGAUGAAGAGCCGUAGUCUCAGAUGAGAUUAGGGCUACUAUAAUUGAUCAUGUAAUAAAUCAUGGUCUAUCAACGAGAGAGGCUGGUCUGAGAGUGCAGCCAAAUCUGCAACGCUCAACAGUGGCAUCUAUUGUGAGAAAUUUCCAGCAAAACAACUGGACCCAACGGUUACCUCCCACAGGCGGGAAAGGUAGGAUUUUCACUGCUGUGCAGGAAACUGCAAUCGUUGAUAUGGUCAUCAGAAGCAAUGGCAUAAAACUCACAGAGAUUCGGGACGAGUGUUGGCAGACAACAUUACAUUUGGAAAUAUUCACAAUGUAAGCAUUAACAAAUAUUUCUAGAGUCCUGAAACAACAUCAAGUCAGGAUGAAGCAGUUGUACACUGUCCCCUUUGAGAGUAACUCUGAAUGAGUCAAGCAACUCAGGAACCAAUAUGUCCAGAGAGUCAUGGAGAUUGAAGCCAGGCAAACACCCCACAUAUUCAUCUUUGUGGAUGAGGCUGGUUUCAACUUGGCCAAAACACAGCGGCGAGGAAGGAGUGUGAUUGGGAAAAGAACCACAGUGGAUGUCCCGGGCCAGAGGGGUGCCAACAUCACAAUGUGUGCAGCAGUAUCCUCUGAUGGAUUGCUGUUACACAAACCGCUAAUUGGGCCAUACAACACCGAGCAUCUCAUUUAAUUCCUGGGUGACCUCUAUGGAAGGGUUGUGCCAGGUGAGGAAAGGGUUGCAAUGAGGCGAAAUCGGCCAACAUUUGAAAUUGUAUGGGACAAUGUGCCAUUUCACCACUCCCGUGCAGUCACAGAGUGGUUUGCAGGCCAUCCCAGGAUGAUGAUAUUUUUCCUCCCACCUUACUCUCCAUUCCUCAACCCCAUAGAGGAAUUAUUUUCCUCAUGGAGGUGGAAGGUUUAUGACCACCAUCCACAUGAUCAAAUGUCUCUCCUGGACGCAAUGAAUGCUGGAUGCCUGGACAUAUCUGCAGAAGAUUGCCAGGGAUGGACCAGACAUGCCAAAAUAGUAUUUCCUAGGUGUAUUGCCCAAGAUGACAUAAAAUGUGAUGUGGAUGAGAACCUGUGGCCAAAUUCAUAAGACAGGGUUAUCUAGCACUGCUACUGUAUCUGUGUCGGUUGAUGGUGUAUAUACAAAUUAUUGUAUUUUGGAAUCACUCAAUGCCAUAAAAUAACAUAAAACAUAUUGAAGCAUAUUGCAUAAUGUCUGAUAUAUUCCUGUAACAUAUACUACAGUGAAUUCAAAACGGUAGAGAGGUGUCAUUCCUGUUUUGUAAAGAAAUUUGACAAAAGAAAACAUCGCGUAAUGCUACCUGUUGUUAGUGUUUUUAGGUCAUUGUUUUAUGAGCGACAACGUGUGCUUGUUGGGUGACAACCUUUGCUAGUGUUAUGGAAGAACGAGUUGAUUUGAGACAUGUAUGAAGUGUUUUGGUAGUUUUAGGGCAUUUUGAAGAUGAAAUGAACUGCUGUGCCAAGCUGAAAGUUAGUUAGGAGAACUGUGUGAAGAGUUUUGAAAAAGUGACCUAAGUAUUGAGAAAUGGGUUCUAGCGAUUGUAAAAACCUGUAACACGAGCCAAGCAGACACACCUCAAAUACAAUAGAGAGGUGAGGACUGCAAUGAACCCUUACUGUUGCUCUGUGUUUGACAUUAUUACACUGAACCCUUACUGUUGCUCUGUGUUUGACAUUAUUACACUGAACCCUAACUGUUGUUCUGUGUUUGACAUUAUUACGCUGAACCCUUACUGUUGCUCUGUGUUUGACAUUAUUACAAUGAACCCUAACUGUUGUUCUGUGUUUGACAUUAUUACGCUGAACCCUUACUGUUGCUCUGUGUUUGACAUUAUUACACUGAACUCUUACUGUUGCUCUGUGUUUGACAUUAUUACACUGAACCCUUACUGUUGCUCUGUGUUUGACAUUAUUACACUGAACUCUUACUGUUGCUCUGUGUUUGACAUUAUUACACUGAACCCUUACUGUUGCUCUGUGUUUGACAUUAUUACACUGAACUCUUACUGUUGCUCUGUGUUUGACAUUAUUACACUGAACCCUUAUUGUUGCUCUGUGUUUGACAUUAUUACACUGAACCCUUACUGUUGUUCUGUGUUGUACAUUAUUACACUGAACCCUUACUGUUGCUCUGUGCUGUACAUUAUUACACUGAACCCUUACUGUUGCUCUGUGUUGUACAUUAUUACACUGAACCCUUACUGUUGCUCUGUGUUUGACAAUAUCACACUGAACCCUUACUGUUGCUCUGUGCUGUACAUUAUUACACUGAACCCUUACUGUUGCUCUGUGUUUGAUAUUAUUACUCGGAACCCUUACUGUUGUUCUGUGUUUGACAUUAUUACAUUGAACCCUUACUGUUGCUCUGUGUUUGACAUUAUUACAUUGAACCCUUACUGUUAUUCUGUGUUUGACAUUAUUACACUGAACCCUUACUGUUGUUCUGUGUUUGACAUUAUUACACUGAACCCUUACUGUUAUUCUGUGUUUGACGUUAUUACACUGAACCCUUACUGUUGCUCUGUGUUUGACAUUAUUACACUGAACCCUUACUGUUGCUCUGUGUUUGACAUUAUUACACUGAACCCUAACUGUUGUUCUGUGUUUGACAUUAUUCCGCUGAACCCUUACUGUUGUUCUGUGUUGUACAUUAUUACACUGAACCCUUACUGUUGCUCUGUGCUGUACAUUAUUACACUGACCCCUAACUGUUGCUCUGUGUUUGACAUGAUUACACUGAACCCUUACUGUUGUUCUGUGUUUGACAUUAUUACAUUGAACCCUAACUGUUGCUCUGUGUUAUGCAUUAUUACAAUGAACCCUUACUGUUGCUCUAUGUUUGACAUUAUUACACUGAACCC